AAAGCGAGCGCCGCGGCCCCUCCGGAUGCAGAGCCCGCCGGGCUUCGCUGCGCCCGGAAGGAUGUCUUUGAAGAGCAGCUUUCGCAAUUGUGACUGGACCUGUAGCAACCGUGGCUGAUACAGGAGCAAGACAAAGAUUGAGUCCUGGUUUGGGACUCAGCUGAGAUGGAAGACAGAAGGACCCAGGGCACUUAAACUCAAGGAGAACCCCUCACCUGCAAAGCUCUACAUGUUGCUGAUCUUUGGAUCCAGAGUUUAUGUAUGAAAUAAAGGCCGCAUUGCAUUGCAAUUCCCAAAAAUGUGUUACGAAAGGUAGUACUUUCUGUUUUGAGGCGGCUACAUGGAUUCAGCAUACCGUCCUUUCCUGUUUAAAGUCACCACCACCGAUCCCAUCCUUUGGUGUUAUUUCUUCAAGCCUUCACAUAUAUGUUACAAGUCCUCAGACCAUUCUUCCUAGCUGCCUCGGAACAUAAGUACUUUCUAUAGAAAGAGUUACAUGGCUAAUCAUGCCAGAGAAAUUUAAAAAAGAUAAAACAGCUAUUGUGAGGAAGUUAAAAAUAAUCUGAAAUAAAGUUCUUAGAGUCUCGUUCCCUACUCAGUAUUUCUUAUCUUCCGUCU